AUGCUAAUGAAUUCGAAUUAUAACAAUUUUAAGGUACCACCUAUCGAACUAUGCGGUUAUCCAUCUAAUGAUUAUAACGUAAAUUCUGGACAUCUAUUUUAUGGGAUGCCUAUGGGAACAUUCCCUUAUCCUAUCCCAAUGAUUAAACAAAAAAAUGCUUGUUCAUGGGAUUUAUGCAACGAACAAGAAAAUAUAUUAAAACCAUUCAAUCAUUUUGCUAACAUAUCUGUUCUUCAAAAACCUACUAAAAUUGUUGAAGUCCCAGAAGUAAGAGAAAUCACUAAAUUUGUAGAAAAUGUAAAGAUAGUUGAUGUACCUAUUGAACGUGUUAAAGUUGUCCCUAAAUUGAAUAUAAGAGAAGUUGAAAAAAUUAGACACAUUCCAGGCCCAAUAGAAUAUAUUGAUGUUGAACAAGAGUAUAUUAUUCCAAAACCACGUAUAGAAAUAAUAGAACAUAUUCGCGAAAUACCAGAAAUAGAAGAUGUAAAUAUAGAAGUACCAAUUUACAUACCUACACCUGUUGGUCCACCUAAGGAUAUUUACAUAAAUGUUCCUUUGCCUUAUGAUGUUCCACAUUUUCCUUACAUACCAGAUCAAAAAUUCAUCCAUCCUAUGUCACAACCUAUUUACCAUGCAAUAAAAAAGGAUCCUAAAUUAUGUAUGAGACAAGAUAAAUAUGAUAUUAAAUUAAAGAAUUUUGAAUCUUCUAAAAAUAAAAAUCAUAAAAAAGAUUCUCCUAAUAAAAAUGGACACAAUAUAGAAUAUAAUCAAGAAAAUACAUAUGAUGACUAUUAUGAAAUGAAUGGUAAUGAAAACAAAAGUAAUGCCCAAUAUUACAAUAUGUAUAACGAUAAUUAUAAUAUUUAUGCAAAUAAAAAAUUUCAAAAUAAUUAUAGAUAUCCUACAAAUAAUCCUUACGAAGAAAACACGAAUCACGAUAACUAUGCUGACUAUGAGUAUAAUGAAAAAACUAUAAGUGAUGUAAAUAAUGAGGAUAAUGUCAGACUACUAAAUCAGGACAUACGGCAUUUUUAUGGUAACCCAGAAUAUAAUAAUUACGAAAAUAGUGAUUACAAAACCAACACUAGUUAUUUAUCUAACAACACAUAUUCAAAACAAAAUAGAAAAAAUGGUAAAAAUGGUGUAACGGAACUUAUUGUCAAAAAAAAAAAAAAUUAA
rnacentral:lncRNA from 1 species